rnacentral:rRNA from 1 species
AUGAGCGCUGGCGGCGUGCCUAAUACAUGCAAGCCGAGCGAACGGACGAGAAGCUUGCUUCUCUGAUGUUAGCGGCGGACGGGUGAGUAACACGUGGAUAACCUACCUAUAAGACUGGGAUAACUUCGGGAAACCGGAGCUAAUACCGGAUAAUAUUUUGAACCGCAUGGUUCAAAAGUGAAAGACGGCCUUGCUGUCACUUAUAGAUGGAUCCGCGCUGCAUUAGCUAGUUGGUAAGGUAACGGCUUACCAAGGCAACGAUGCAUAGCCGACCUGAGAGGGUGAUCGGCCACACUGGAACUGAGACACGGUCCAGACUCCUACGGGAGGCAGCAGUAGGGAAUCUUCCGCAAUGGGCGAAAGCCUGACGGAGCAACGCCGCGUGAGUGAUGAAGGUCUUCGGAUCGUAAAACUCUGUUAUUAGGGAAGAACAUAUGUGUAAGUAACUGUGCACAUCUUGACGGUACCUAAUCAGAAAGCCACGGCUAACUACGUG